GACGAACGCUGGCGGCGUGCUUAACACAUGCAAGUCGAACGGAAAGGCCCUGCUUUUGUGGGGUGCUCGAGUGGCGAACGGGUGAGUAACACGUGAGUAACCUGCCCUUGACUUUGGGAUAACUUCAGGAAACUGGGGCUAAUACCGGAUAGGAGCUCCUGCUGCAUGGUGGGGGUUGGAAAGUUUCGGCGGUUGGGGAUGGACUCGCGGCUUAUCAGCUUGUUGGUGGGGUAGUGGCUUACCAAGGCUUUGACGGGUAGCCGGCCUGAGAGGGUGACCGGCCACAUGGGGACUAAGAGACGGACCAGACUCCUACGGGAGGCAGCAGGGGGGAAUAUUGCACAAUGGGCGGAAGCCUGAGGCAGCAACGCCGCGUGCGGGAUGACGGCCUUCGGGUUGUAAACCGCUUUCGCCUGUGACGAAGCGUGAGUGACGGUAAUGGGUAAAGAAGCACCGGCUAACUACGUG
rnacentral:rRNA from 1 species